AGAGUUUGAUCCUGGCUCAGGACGAACGCUGGCGGCGUGCCUAACACAUGCAAGUCAAGGAGAAAGCUUUCUUCGGAGAGUGAUUAAACUGGCGGACGGGUGAGUAACGCGUAGGCAACCUGCCCCUUUGUUUGGGAUAACCCUGCGAAAGCGGGGCUAAUACCGGAUGUGGUCUUUUCCCCACCUGCGGAGAAGAUUAAAGCUGCUUUCGGGUAGCGCAAAGGGAUGGGCCUGCGUUCCAUUAGCUUGUUGGCAGGGUAACGGCCUACCAAGGCGACGAUGGAUAGCUGGUCUGAGAGGACGAUCAGCCACACUGGGACUGAGAUACGGCCCAGACUCCUACGGGAGGCAGCAGUGGGGAAUAUUGCGCAAUGCCCGCAAGGGUGACGCAGCGACGCCGCGUGGGUGAUGACGCACCACGGUGUGUAAAGCCCUGUCAGAAGGGAAGAACGGUUCAGGUUCGUAAGGGUCUGGAUGUGACGGUACCUUCAGAGGAAGCUCCGGCUAACUCCGUGCCAGCAGCCGCGGUAAUACGGGGGGAGCAAGCGUUGCCCGGAAUUACUGGGCGUAAAGGGCGUGUAGGCGGGCGAUCAAGUCAGAUGUAAAAGUCCACGGCUCAACCAUGGCAUGUCAUCUGAAACUGGUUGUCUUGAGUUCGAGAGAGGGUAGUGGAAUUCCAGGUGUAGCGGUGAAAUGCGUAGAUAUCUGGAAGAACACCGGAUGCGAAGGCGGCUACCUGGCUCGUAACUGACGCUGAGGCGCGAAAGCGUGGGGAGCAAACAGGAUUAGAUACCCUGGUAGUCCACGCUGUAAACGAUGGGCACUAGGUGUCGGGUCCGCCACAGGCGGAUUCGGUGCCGCAGCUAACGCACUAAGUGCCCCGCCUGGGGAGUACGCUCGCAAGGGUGAAACUCAAAGGAAUUGACGGGGGCCCGCACAAGCGGUGGAGCAUGUGGUUUAAUUCGAUGCAACGCGCAGAACCUUACCGGGGCUUGAACAUCUGGGUAAACCCUAUGAAAGUAGGGCUGCUCUUCGGAGCGACCCAGGAGAGGUGCUGCAUGGCUGUCGUCAGCUCGUGUCGUGAGAUGUUGGGUUAAGUCCCGCAACGAGCGCAACCCUUGCCCUUAGUUGCCAGCAGGUAAUGCUGGGCACUCUAAGGGGACUGCCGGUGAUAAACUGGAGGAAGGUGGGGAUGACGUCAAGUCCUCAUGGCCCUUACGUCCCGGGCUACACACGUGCUACAAUGGCCGGUACAACGGGUAGCAAGACCGCGAGGUGGAGCCAAUCCCUGAAAACCGGUCUCAGUUCAGAUUGCAGUCUGCAACUCGACUGCAUGAAGUCGGAAUCGCUAGUAAUCGCGGAUCAGCACGCCGCGGUGAAUACGUUCCCGGGCCUUGUACACACCGCCCGUCACGCCAUGGGAGUCGGCAGUACCCGAAGUCGGUGUCCGAACCUUUCGAGGAAGGAGCCGCCGAAGGUAAGGCCGGUGACUGGGGCGAAGUCGUAACAAGGUA
rnacentral:rRNA from 1 species